CACAUGACUCUCGGCAACGGAUAUCUCGGCUCUCGCAUCGAUGAAGAACGUAGCGAAAUGUGAUAUUUGGUGUGAAUUGCAGAAUCCCGUGAACCAUCGAGUCUUUGAACGCAAGUUGCGCCCGAGGCCUUGCGGCCAAGGGCACGCCUGCCUGGGCGUCACUC
rnacentral:rRNA from 1 species